rnacentral:rRNA from 1 species
UACGGAGGGUGCGAGCGUUGUCCGGAAUCACUGGGCGUAAAGGGCGCGUAGGCGGCGCGGUUAGUCGGCGGUGAAAGCCCGGAGCUCAACUCCGGGUCGGCCGUCGAUACUUCCGGGCUUGAGCACUGUAGAGGCAGAUGGAAUUCCGGGUGUAGCGGUGGAAUGCGUAGAGAUCCGGAAGAACCCCGGUGGCGAAGGCGGUCUGCUGGGCAGUUGCUGACGCUGAUGCGCGACAGCGUGGGGAGCAAACAGG